CCUUCUUCUUAGCAAAGAAUUGCCAUGCUCCAAAUAAAAAGACUAUGAAGAACAACACCAACAACACAGGGCUUGUCCAUAGCAUUGUAUUGAAUUCUCCUUUAAAUACUGGAAGAUUAGAGCGAUACAUUCCCACAUACCCACCCCCAAGGCCAAGAACAACAAGUUUUUCUCGGUUACUGGCUAUUAAGGGUAUCAACCUCCUCCAACCGUUAAUUGCAUCCACCACUUGAUAAUUUAGAAAUGAUGAUCUGAUCUCGUCCAAACCAGCAGAGAACAGAACACCAACCCUAACAUAGUGCUGAGUCGAAACAUUAUACACGAAAACCUUCUCUUCAUUGACAACAAGCAAAUACCCCUUAAUGGCUUGCAUUGCAAUGGGUUCAUCCAUGUCGAACUUUCUUUUAGAUCUAACCCUGCAUUUGAAGUUCAUUACAUCUCCUAACAAUAAUACAUGAAUCAAAUCACCCUCUGAUGUAAAUCCAUAUGCUUUUGACCGUUCAGUAGCAUCAAAUACAUAAUUCCGAACAAGAGUUUGAUUCAAUCCUUCACAUUCUGAUUCCCUGACUUUCAUGCUCCUUAAAUCCAAUGACCCUGCACCACUCUCUGUCAAGAACAAAAGCCUCUGCUUCAAGAAUGUAAGUGGUCUGCUUGUCGGCAUAGCAGAGCCAUGAACUGUCCCAUUUUCUCUAAAAACACGAAUCUUCCCACCAACACUCGAUGACAAGAUAUACCUUGAUCUCCCAACAUGAUGUACUUCCAAAAUAGUUAUAGCUAAGCCUUCCAAAUGAUCAUUGGGCAUAGACUUACCUACAUUUUCCAUAGAUAAUGAACCCCAUUCUUCUCCAUUCAGACCUUCACGAACUUUGUGCACCAAAACCACACCAUUCUCAUGUCCUGUCACGACAAUGCAUUCGUUCUUAUAAACUGACAAGUAUGAUAGCAUUGCAG
rnacentral:misc_RNA from 1 species